rnacentral:rRNA from 1 species
GUCUUUUUGAUUAUAAUUUAAAGUCUAAUCUGCUCAAUGAGUAUUUAAAUAGCCGCAGUAUUUUGACUGUGCAAAGGUAGCGUGAUAAUUAGUCUCUUAAUUAGAGGCUUGCAUGAAUGAUUUGACAAGAAAAUUUCUGUCUCUCUUUAAUUUUAUGAAUUUAAUUUUUAAGUUAAAAUGCUUAAAUAUUUAUAAAAGACGAGAAGACCCCAUAGAGUUUAAUUCUUAUAUUUUUUUAGUAUUAGUAUUUAAGAAGAAAUUAGUUGGGGUGACUGAAAGAUUAAAAUAAUUCUUUUAACUUUGAUCAUUGAUUUGUGAAUAAUAAAUCUAGUUUUAUAAUUUUAAAUUAAAUUACCUUGGGGAUAACAGCGUAAUUCCUUUUAAGAGUUCUUAUCAAAUAAGGAGAUUGCGACCUCGAUGUUGGAUUAAAAUUUAUGUUAGGUGUAGAAGCUUAAUUAUUAAGUCUGUUCGACUUUUAGAAUUUUAC